rnacentral:rRNA from 1 species
GUUGACAACUUUUAACGGUGGAUCUCUUGGCUCGUGCAUCGAUGAARAACGUAGCCAGUUGCGAUAAGUAGUGUGAAUUGCAGAAUUCAGUGAAUCAUCGAAUCUUUGAACGCAAAUUGCGCUCUCUGGACUUCCAGGGAGCAUGCCUGUCUGAGCGUCGUGUUAAAACUCACACACU